CCUGCCCACAGAGGUGUUGCUGGUGUGCCUGCUGUGUCACAUGUGAAUCUGUAGGUGGCAGAGAGGAGAAAGCCUAUGUCUAGACUCAGUGUACUGACCUAUGGACAUCUGAAUUAUUAGUUGCCUAACAGU